UAGUCCUGGCNGUAAACGAUGAACNCUAGGUGUCGGGGGAAUCGACCCCNUNGGUGUNGUAGNUAACGCNUUAAGUGUUCCGCNUGGGGAGUACGCACGCAAGUGUGAAACUCAAAGGAAUUGACGGGGGNCCGCNCNNNCNNNNGAGUAUGUGGUUUAAUUCGAUGCAACGCGAAGAACCUUACCAGGGUUUGACAUCCUGCGAAUCCCUUGGAAACGAGGGAGUGCCUUCGGGAGCGCAGAGACAGGUGGUGCAUGGCNGUCGUCAGCUCGUGUCGUGAGAUGUUGGGUUAAGUCUCGCAACGAGCGCAACCCACGUCUUUAGUUGCCAGCAUUCAGUUGGGCACUCUAGAGAGACCGCCGGUGAUAAACCGGAGGAAGGUGUGGANGACGUCAAGUCAUCAUGCCCCUUACAUCCUGGGCUACACACGUACUACAAUGCUACGGACAAAGGGUUGCAAGCUCGCGAGAGUUAGCUAAUCCCAUAAACCGUGGCUCAGUUCAGAUCGUAGGCUGCAACUNGCNUACGUGAAGGRGGAAUCGCUAGUAAUCGCAGGUCAGCAUANUGCGGUGAAUACGUUCCCGGGCCUUGUACACNCCGCCCGUCAUCUUGCNGAAAAA
rnacentral:rRNA from 1 species